GAGCUUGUAGUUCAAUUGGUUAGAACACGGUCACUGUACAUGUAUAGAGCCGGCAUGUAGGUUCGACUCCUACCAAACCCA